UUGGCUCAGGAUGAACGCUGGCGGCAGGCUUAACACAUGCAAGUCGAGGGGCAGCGCGGUGGUAGCAAUACUACUGGCGGCGACCAGCGCACUGGUGAGUAACACGUAUGCGACCUGCCCCGGACAGGGGGAUAAACCCGGGAAACUGGGCCUAAUACCCCAUAUGCCAUAGAGCCGCAUGGUUCUGUGGUGAAAGAUCCGUCGGUCCGGGAUGGGCAUGCGGCGCAUUAGCUUGUUGGCGGGGCAACGGCCCACCAAGGCGACGAUGCGUAGGGUUCUGAGAGGAAGGUCCCCCACACUGGUACUGAGACACGGACCAGACUCCUACGGGAGGCAGCAGUGGGGAAUA
rnacentral:rRNA from 1 species